GACGAACGCUGGCGGCGUGCCUAAUACAUGCAAGUCGAACGCAGUGGGGACGGGUGAGUAACACGUGGGUAACCUCCCAUCAGAGGGGAUAACACUUGGAAACAGGUGCUAAACCGAUACUGAUGGAUGGACCCGCGGUGCAUUAGCUAGGUGGGGAGGUAACGGCUCACCAAGGCCACGAUGCCUAGCGGACCUGUGAGGGUGUUCGGCCACGCUGGGACUUGACCCCGGCCCAGACUCCUACGGGAGGCAGCAGUCGGGACUCUUCGGCAAUGGACGAAAGUCUGACCGAGCAACGCCGCGUGAGUGAAGAAGGUUUUCGGAUCGUAAAACUCUGUUGUUAGAGAAGCGGUAUCUAACCAGAAAGCCACGGCUAACUACGGGCCAGCAGCCGCGGUAAUUC
rnacentral:rRNA from 1 species